UUUUUUGGGGAGACAGCAAGGUGGCGAAGUGUGUGGAGCUUUCGUUAAGUUACUUAAACCUCUGCCUCAGUUUCGUCAUCUGUAAAAUGAGCUGGAAAAGGAAAUGGCAAACCACUCUGAUAUCUUUGCAAAGAAAAUCCCAAAUGGAAACAGAGAAACAAGACAAAAAUGACUAAAUAACGACCGACAAGAGAGGGGGACGGCCGAGACAAGGCGGGGAUGGGGAGAACAGACCUGGAGAAGCAAGUUAGAAGUCGAGUUUGAAAUCUGAGAGGUGGUGGGAUCACAGGCGAAGGCAAGGCGGAGUCAGAGCUCAGAAGGGGCGGGACCAGAGGUGGAGGUUAAGGCGGAGCCAAGACCAUGAGAGGGAGGAACCAGCAGUGGAGGCAGCUCCGAGAAAGCGGGGCGGAGUCACAGGAACACAUUCAGCCAAAUUCCAGCCCGCUGAGUCUGGCUCCUGGAAAGAGCGAUCCUGCACAAGCGCAGGCUUCCUCCUCUUCCCUCCCCCUCUCCCCCGCCUCUCCCCACUUCCUCAGAUCGGUGCUUUUUCUGGGGAACCCAACCCAAUCCUGCCUCCCGGUGACCCUCUAGGAAGUGUGGAGGACCGUCUGCCUGCGUCUCAGUGACCUGCUAGUCCCCUCCCGCGUAGGGGGCGGGCGGAGUUCAGGAGCCGAAAUGGCGGGAAGAAGGAAUGAAGGAAUGAAGGACCAUCAAAUCUCAGAGGGAUCACACAUGAGCAUCAGGAGUAGGAGACCUGGGAUCAAAUCCUGCCUCCUCUGGUUAUUGUGUAGGCUGCCUCCCAUUAUCCCUCUCAAUUGGGGAUGGAGAGUGGGGAAUGGAGCAGAGGGAACCUCAAGGAGCUUCUUUCCUGCUUGCCAUAUUUCUCAGAAGUUCAAAAGUAGCAUGGUCUGCCUCUUUGGUAUAGCUACCAGGAUCCUGCCCUCUGAGAAGGCAUUCUCUGCUCAGGGCCAGCCUCCAUUUUCCUAAUAGGACUUUGCCACUGAGGAAGUCAGUUUUUCUAGCAAAGCUGACUUCUCAUCCAACAAUAAACUUCCAUUUUUGCCACCUAAAA